GUGCUUUCCCUCCAUUUCAGGCACCCUUUCUUGGGCCGCGAAGUCCCUAUCUCGAACGGCUCAGGAUUCGUGGUGGCUGCCGAUGGGCUCAUUGUCACCAACGCCCAUGUGGUGGCUGAUCGGCGCAGAGUCCGUGUGAGACUGCUUAGCGGCGACACGUAUGAGGCCGUGGUCACAGCUGUGGAUCCCGUGGCAGACAUCGCAACGCUGAGGAUUCAGACUAAGGAGCCUCUCCCCACGCUGCCUCUGGGACGCUCAGCGGAUGUCCGGCAAGGGGAGUUUGUUGUUGCCAUGGGAAGUCCCUUUGCACUGCAGAACACGAUCACAUCCGGCAUUGUUAGCUCUGCUCAGCGUCCAGCCAGAGACCUGGGACUCCCCCAAACCAAUGUGGAAUACAUUCAGACUGAUGCAGCUAUUGAUGUGCGUCCUGAUAAGAGAGAAAUGACAAAUGAUGGGGGAGGGGGAGAGGCUGUGGUACAAGCACCAGCUGAUAUAUGGUGGAUGAGCCUAUAUAGAGCUUAGGCUGCAAAAAUGUGGCCACUCAUUCAUGGGCUGAGAAAG
rnacentral:sRNA from 1 species